GCCGGGAUGGCCGAGCGGACUAAGGCGCAGGUCUGGAGAACCUGUGGGUCUUCGGGCCCGCGUGGGUUCGAAUCCCACUCCCGGCG
rnacentral:tRNA from 1 species